GACGAACGCUGGCGGCGUGCUUAACACAUGCAAGUCGAACGAAGAGCGAUGGAAGCUUGCUUCUAUCACUCUUAGUGGCGACCGGGUGAGUAACGCGUAAUCAACCUGCCCUUCAGAGGGGGACAACAGUUGGAAACGACUGCUAAUACCGCAUACGAUCUAAUCUCGGCAUCGAGGAUAGAUGAAAGGUGGCCUCUACAUGUAAGCUAUCACUGAAGGAGGGGAUUGCGUCUGAUUAGCUAGUUGGAGGGGUAACGGCCCACCAAGGCGAUGAUCAGUAGCCGGUCUGAGAGGAUGAACGGCCACAUUGGGACUGAGACACGGCCCAGACUCCUACGGGAGGCAGCAGUGGGGAAUCUUCCGCAAUGGACGAAAGUCUGACGAAGCAACGCCGCGUGAGUGAUGACGGCCUUCGGGUUGUAAAGCUCUGUUAAUCGGGACGAAAGGCCUUCUUGCGAAUAGUGAGAAGGAUUGACGGUACCGGAAUAGAAAGCCACGGCUAACUACGUG
rnacentral:rRNA from 1 species